rnacentral:tRNA from 1 species
GCCCUGUAGCUCAGCGGUAGAGCAGCGAACUCGUAAUUCGCAGGUCGCUGGUUCGACUCCAGCCUUGGCUCCA